GAUGAACGCUUGCGGCAGGCUUAAUACAUGCAAGUCGAACGGUAACAGGGUCUUCGGACUGCUGACGAGUGGCGGAUGGGUGAGUAACGCGUAUGCAACCUACCUCACACCGAGAACAAGUCGACUGAAAAGUUGAAUAAAGUCUCGUGGUGUACAUCCCUCGCAUGAGGGGUGUAUGAUAGAAGUAAUUUGGUGUGAGAUGGGCAUGCGCAUCAUUAGCUAGUUGGCGGGGUAAUAGCCCACCAAGGCGACGAUGAUUCGGGGGCCUGAGAGGGUGGUCCCCCACACUGGGACUGAGACACGGCCCAGACUCCUACGGGAGGCAGCAGUAGGGAAUAUUGGUCAAUGGGCGGAAGCCUGAACCAGCCAUGCCGCGUGAUGGAUGACGGCCUUAGCGUUGUAAACAUCUUUUCUACUAGAGGAAUAGAGUCCACGUGUGGACAGACGACUGUAUAGUAGGAAUAAGGAUCGGCUAACUCCGUGCCAGCAGCCGCGGUAAUACGGAGGAUUCGAGCGUUAUCCGGAUUUACUGGGUUUAAAGGGUGCGCAGGCGGGCUCUUAAGUCAGCGGUGAAAUGUCCGGGCUUACCCUGGGCCUUGCCGUUGAUACUGGGAGUCUUGGAUAAGCAUAAGGACGGCGGAAUGCGUAGUGUAGCGGUGAAAUGCUUAGAUAUUACGUAGAAGACCGAUUGCGAAGGCAGCUGUCUGGGUCUUAAUCGACGCUCAAGCACGAAAGCGUGGGUAGCGAACAGGAUUAGAUACCCUGGUAGUCCACGCCGUAAACGAUGAUCACUCGCUCUUGGCGAUACGCUGUCAGGGGCUAAGCGAAAGCGUUAAGUGAUCCACCUGGGGAGUACGACCGCAAGGUUGAAACUCAAAGGAAUUGACAGGGGCCCGCACAAGCGGAGGAACAUGUGGUUUAAUUCGAUGAUACGCGAGGAGCCUUACCUGGGCUAGAACGGCAGACCGAUCUACGGGGAAACCUGAGAGCCCUUCGGGGGUCUGUCGACGGUGCUGCAUGGUUGUCGUCAGCUCGUGCCGUGAGGUGUCCGGUUAGUUCCCAUAACGAGCGCAACCCCUUAUCGUCAGUUACCAUCAGGUGAGUUGGGUGACCUCUGGCAAAACCGCCGGGUCAACCCGUGAGGAAGGUGGGAAUACCUCACAAUCCCCAG
rnacentral:rRNA from 1 species